ACUGCUCAGUAACACGUGGAUAACCUGCCCUUGGGUCCGGCAUAACCCCGGGAAACUGGGGAUAAUUCCGGAUAACGCAUAUGUGCUGGAAUGCUUUAUGCGUCAAAUGGAUUCGUCUGCCCAAGGAUGGGUCUGCGGCCUAUCAGGUAGUAGUGGGUGUAAUGUACCUACUAGCCGACAACGGGUACGGGUUGUGAGAGCAAGAGCCCGGAGAUGGAUUCUGAGACAUGAAUCCAGGCCCUACGGGGCGCAGCAGGCGCGAAAACUUUACAAUGCGGGAAACCGUGAUAAGGGGACACCGAGUGUCAGCAUCAUAUGCUGGCUGUCCAGGUGUGUAAAAUACACCUGUUAGCAAGGGCCGGGCAAGACCGGUGCCAGCCGCCGCGGUAACACCGGCGGCCCGAGUGGUGAUCGUGAUUAUUGGGUCUAAAGGGUCCGUAGCCGGUUUGGUCAGUCCUCCGGGAAAUCUGAUAGCUCAACUAUUAGGCUAUCGGGGGAUACUACCAGACUUGGAACCGGGAGAGGUAAGAGGUACUACAGGGGUAGGAGUGAAAUCUUGUAAUCCCUGUGGGACCACCUGUGGCGAAGGCGUCUUACCAGAACGGGUUCGACGGUGAGGGACGAAAGCUGGGGGCACGAACCGGAUUAGAUACCCGGGUAGUCCCAGCCGUAAACGAUGCCCGCUAGGUGUCAGGCAUGGCGCGACCGUGUCUGGUGCCGCAGGGAAGCCGUGAAGCGAGCCACCUGGGAAGUACGGCCGCAAGGCUGAAACUUAAAGGAAUUGGCGGGGGAGCAC
rnacentral:rRNA from 1 species